rnacentral:lncRNA from 10 species
UGUUGAGUCUUUGCCAGUCUAAUCUUUUCAGCUUUGGUGAUUAACUAAAGAGAAAUAAAUCAAAAAUUAAAAUGUAUUGGAUACUCAAAACACACACACACACACACACACACACACACAAAACUAUGACUAGAAAAAAUUUCACAGCUAUCAGCUUAAAUGGAAAUUUUUUAAAAACAGCGAGAAGAUGACAAAUGAGAUAAUUAUGCUCAGGUCAAAUCAAUUACAAAUCAAAUCUGUUAUUAAGGCUAUUUACUAUUUCCUAUUUCUUACACCCUUACAUAAAUUGUUGAAUAUUUUUAAGGAAGGCAAAUGAAAUUACACAGAAUAAAAAAGAAAACUGUUUAAAAUGUCUAAAAUAUUCCAAAAGCUUCCUUGAGAAAAAAAAGUUAAAAUAUUAAACUUUGGAGUAAAUGCAAAUCUUUUUCUCUAAAAAAUAUAGAUUCUAAUGAGUAUUCAUUUAAAUAGUUUUAAAGUGUUUGGUACCAUAUGGCAAUUGGAAGGAAUUCACUUUUAGAUUAAACUAAAAGCCUAUUAUUCAUCAUUGAGGUGAAUUAAAAUCCAAAGAUGUUUAGAACUCUAUCAUACCCAUGCUGCUGUUCACAAAUUUUAUAAAUUCUGCCUUUACCUGCUGAGUAUCAGUAAUUUUUACAGAAAAGAAUUCAAAUGUUUUAAAAGCCAAAGAGAAAUAAGCUUCAUUCUGUCUCUAGUAGCUGUUAUCUAUUUUUACCAAUGUGUUCAAAAUCAUAGGGCAUACUACAAAGAUUUAGGCUAGCAAAAUGAAUAGGAGACAUCCCUUUUGGCAGACCUUUCCUUCAUCUUCUUGAUCUUUUGUGAUACAUCACUAAUUUAAUUUACUUGUGUUUAAUAUAUUAUUUUAGUUUCGUUUUUUUGAGACAGAGUCUUGCUCUGUUGCCCAGGCUGUGGUGCAGUGGCGCCAUCUUGGCUCACUGCAACCUCCACUUCCUAGGUUCAGGCAAUUCUCUUGCCUCAGCCUCCCCAGUAGCUGGGAUUACAUGUGCGUGCCAGCUGGCUAAUUUUUGUAUUUUUAGUAGACAGGGUUUCAAUAUGUUGGCCGGGCUGGUCUCCAACUCCUGACCUCAAGUGAUCCACCAGCCUCAGCCUCCUAAAGUGCUGGGAUUAUAGGCAUGAGCCACCGUGCCUGGCCCCAUAAUGUGAAUAUUAAGAGCCAGAAUUUUUUUACUUUUACUCAAUUAUGGGCCAAAUACAACACUAUUGUAGAAAUAUUGGGCUGUCAGGUCAGUAAGGUAUUUAUGUAACCUUUUGGCAGAUUCACUGAUGUUCUACUAGUUUUUUUUCUAAGCAAUUUCCAUUACUUACUAAGAUGCUCCUAGUACUCCAACUACACUGGUCUUCUAGUCCCUGACAGUCUUCCCUUCCGGUCUCUGCAUUUUCUUUGCUUCUGCCUGAAAAGCUAUACUUCUAAACUUUACUGGGGCUUACUCGCUCACUUCCUUAUGGGUCUUGGCUGUAACAUAACCUUUGCAGAGAGUUUUCCAGACAACCUCAGCUGUUACAAUGCUCUCCUGCAAUACACUUUAUUUUUCUGUCUAGCACUGGUCAUCACCUAAACUAUAUUGUUUAUCUGUUAGCUUCAUGAAAGUAGGGGACUUUGUGAUUCAUGGCUUUACCCCAGGUUCCAAGAAUGGUGCCUAACACAAGGCACUCAAAAAUCAUUAGCUGAAUUAACUAGCAAACAAGUUGGCUAAACUAAUUAUGGUCUACUCCUUUUUUCCAACAAGCUUUGCACAGCACUUACUUUCUGUGUUAACCUCCGUUUCAUUUCACGACAAGAGUC